GCCGGGCGCAGUGACGCAUGCCUGUAAUCCCAGCGGCUCAGGAGGCUGAAGCAGGAGGAUCCUGAGUUCAAAGCCAGUCUCAGCAAAAGUGAAGUGCUAAGCAACUCAGUGAGAACCUGUCUCUA
rnacentral:sRNA from 1 species